rnacentral:rRNA from 1 species
UGGGGAAUCUCCCGCAAUGGACGAAAGUCUGACGGAGCAACGCCGCGUGAGUGAAGACGGCCUUCGGGUUGUAAAGCUCUGUGAUCCGGGACGAAAGAGCCUGAGGUGAAUAGCCUAAGGAAGUGACGGUACCGGAAAAGCAAGCCACGGCUAACUACGUGCCAGCAGCCGCGGUAAUACGUAGGUGGCAAGCGUUGUCCGGAAUUAUUGGGCGUAAAGCGCGCGCAGGCGGCUUCCUAAGUCCAUCUUAAAAGUGCGGGGCUUAACCCCGUGAUGGGAUGGAAACUGGGAAGCUGGAGUAUCGGAGAGGAAAGUGGAAUUCCUAGUGUAGCGGUGAAAUGCGUAGAGAUUAGGAAGAACACCGGUGGCGAAGGCGACUUUCUGGACGAAAACUGACGCUGAGGCGCGAAAGCGUGGGGAGCAAACAGG